UGCGGCGGCUUACACAUGCAAGUCGAGGGGUAGAAUUUCUUCGGAAAUUUGAGACCGGCGCACGGGUGCGUAACGCGUAUGCAAUCUACCCUUUACUGGAGAAUAGCCCGGAGAAAUUCGGAUUAAUGCUCCAUAUGCUCGUAGGAUCUCCUGAUCCAGCGAGGAAAGCUCCGGCGGUAAAGGAUGAGCAUGCGUCCCAUUAGCUUGUUGGUGAGGUAACGGCUCACCAAGGCGACGAUGGGUAGGGGGCCUGAGAGGGCGAUCCCCCACACUGGUACUGAGACACGGACCAGACUCCUACGGGAGGCAGCAGUGAGGAAUAUUGGGCAAUGGAGGCAACUCUGACCCAGCCAUGCCGCGUGCAGGAAGACGGUCCUCUGGAUUGUAAACUGCUUUUAUUAGGGAAUAAACCCUCCUACGUGUAGGAGGCUGAAGGUACCUGAUGAAUAAGCAUCGGCUAACUCCGUGCCAGCAGCCGCGGUAAUACGGAGGAUGCAAGCGUUAUCCGGAUUUAUUGGGUUUAAAGGGUCCGUAGGCGGGUAUUUAAGUCAGUGGUGAAAGCCCACAGCUCAACUGUGGAACUGCCAUUGAUACUGGAUGUCUUGAGUAUAGUAGAAGUAGGCGGAAUAGGGCAUGUAGCGGUGAAAUGCAUAGAUAUGCCCUAGAACACCGAUUGCGAAGGCAGCUUACUAUGUUAUAACUGACGCUGAGGGACGAAAGCGUGGGGAGCAAACAGGAUUAGAUACCCUGGUAGUCCACG
rnacentral:rRNA from 1 species